CCUACGUGAGGCAGCAGUGAGGAAUAUUGGUCAAUGGGCUUACGCCUGAACCAGCCAAGUCGCGUGAGGGAAGACUGCCCUAUGGGUUGUAAACCUCUUUUGUCAGGGAGCAACGCCGGCUACGUGUAGCCGGACUGAGAGUACCUGAAGAAAAAGCAUCGGCUAACGCCGUGCCAGCAGCCGCGGUAAUACGGAGGAUGCGAGCGUUAUCCGGAUUUAUUGGGUUUAAAGGGUGCGUAGGCGGAAUGCCAAGUCAGCGGUAAAAUCGCGGGGCUCAACCUCGCUCCGCCGUUGAAACUGGCGUUCUUGAGUGAGCGAGGAGUGUGCGGAAUGCGUGGUGUAGCGGUGAAAUGCAUAGAUAUCACGCAGAACUCCGAUUGCGAAGGCAGCAUACCGGCGCCCAACUGACGCUGAGGCACGAAAGCGUGGGUAUCGAACAGGAUUAGAUACCCUUGUAGUC
rnacentral:rRNA from 1 species